CCAACCCUGCCUCCUCCUGACAUGAAUACUUGCAGACGUGUUGUAUGGGAGUGUAGCGCUCUGUUCCUUAUGCACUGCCCUUUUACACAGGGUUGGACAAAAGCCAGACCCUUGAUGACGCACCUGCAUAUUCAUGCCUCCAGUGUCUUAGGGUCCUGUGGACAAUGACUUAGGAACAAACUAUGAAACCCUG
rnacentral:snoRNA from 1 species